GACAAUUUCCCUGACUGUUGCAGGGAGUGGUAGAUGAAAGUUGAAUUUCUACUUUUUUUUGCCCUGCCUCCGGCUGUAAGUGAAUGUAACAGAGAAACAAGGCCCUGCUUUAUUCAUAGGUGCUUGAACACAUGCUACAGCUGCGUCACCUGCCCCACAGGGGUUACGUGUGCCGAUCUAACACCUCUCUCUCGAGAAGCCACAGGUCAAAAUCAAUUCACACGCGUGCUGCUCGUAGACGCUGGUUAAGGUUUUGCUGGCCUCCUCCUGCGAACACCUCAUCCAGAGGCGAAAAAAUCCAGGUUCGGAAUGUGAAAGUCUUCCCAGGCGUUUUGCUCCAAUCACCUGGAUUUGCUAAUUAGCACAAAUCUUCCACCAGGAGGCAGAACUAAUUAGUGAAAUCAGCCGGCUGGAGUUCAUGGGUGGCAGAAACGCACGACAGGAUUUUUACUUUCUGACCCCUGGACUUUACACCUCAUCCAUAAACUGGCUGACAUGCUGGUCACCAGUCGGCACCCUGAGCCGACCAGAGGAGGAUGGG